rnacentral:rRNA from 1 species
GACGAACGCUGGCGGCGUGCUUAACACAUGCAAGUCGAACGCUGAAGCUUGGUGCUUGCACUGGGUGGAUGAGUGGCGAACGGGUGAGUAAUACGUGAGUAACCUGCCCUUGACUCUGGGAUAAGCCUGGGAAACUGGGUCUAAUACUGGAUAUGACAUGCCACUGCAUGGUGGUGUGUGGAAAGGGUUUUACUGGUUUUGGAUGGGCUCACGGCCUAUCAGCUUGUUGGUGGGGUAACGGCCUACCAAGGCGACGACGGGUAGCCGGCCUGAGAGGGUGACCGGCCACACUGGGACUGAGACACGGCCCAGACUCCUACGGGAGGCAGCAGUGGGGAAUAUUGCACAAUGGGCGGAAGCCUGAUGCAGCGACGCCGCGUGAGGGAUGACGGCCUUCGGGUUGUAAACCUCUUUCAGCACGGAAGAAGCGAGAGUGACGGUACGUGCAGAAGAAGCGCCGGCUAACUACGUG